rnacentral:rRNA from 1 species
UACGUAGGGUGCGAGCGUUAAUCGGAAUUACUGGGCGUAAAGCGUGCGCAGGCGGUCUGUUAAGACCGAUGUGAAAUCCCCCGGGCUUAACCUGGGAACUGCAUUGGUGACUGGCAGGCUUUGAGUGUGGCAGAGGGAGGUAGAAUUCCACGUGUAGCAGUGAAAUGCGUAGAGAAUGUGGAGGAAUACCGAUGGCGAAGGCAGCCUCCUGGGCCAACACUGACGCUCAUGCACGAAAGCGUGGGGAGCAAACAG